GCCUCAAUACAGGUGGUGCAUGGUUGUCGUCAGCUCGUGUCGUGAGAUGUUGGGUUAAGUCCCGCAACGAGCGCAACCCUUAUCUUUAGUUGCCAGCAUUUCGGAUGGGAACUCUAAAGAGACUGCCGAUGAUAAAUCGGAGGAAGGUGGGGAUGACGUCAAAUCAUCAUGCCCUAUAUGCCCUGGGCUACACACGUGCUACAAUGGAAGGUACAAAGGGAAGCAAGAUAGUGAUAUUAAGCAAACCUCAAAAAGCCUUUCUCAGUUCGGAUUGUACUCUGCAACUCGAGUACAUGAAGAUGGAGUUGCUAGUAAUCGCAGAUCAGAAUGCUGCGGUGAAUGCGUUCCCGGGUCUUGUACACACCGCCCGUCACACCAUGGGAGCUUGUAAUACCCGAAGCCUGUGAGCAAACCGUAAGGUAGCAGCAGUCGAAGGUAGGAUAAGUGACUGGGGUGAAGUCGUAACAAGGUAGCCGUAUCGGAAGGUGCGGCUGGAUCACCUCCUUU
rnacentral:rRNA from 1 species